rnacentral:misc_RNA from 1 species
GUAGGUGAACCUGCGGAAGGAUCAUUAUCGUACAAAAAUGUGUGAGGCAUGCGAGGGCUGUCGCUGACUUUUGAAGUCGUGCACGCCAGAGCGUGUCCUCUCACAUAUAAUCCAUCUCACCCUCUUGUGCACCACCGCGUGGGCACCCUUCGGGAUCGAUUCGAUCCAGGAGGGGGCUUGCGUUUUCACACAAACCCCUUUUUAAAAAAGUGUAGAAUGACCUCAUCUUUGCAAUAAAACGCAAUCAAUA